rnacentral:lncRNA from 1 species
UUCUAUAAGCGUAAGGGUAGAAUUUUCAAGUUUCUCGAGGUAAAGAGAAGUUUAUGGGGAAAUACUUGUCAGGUAAGUUUCCUCCGUAUCCCCUAUUCUCCUCCAUUUUGCAUUGUUCUUUAUUAUUCCCUUUUAUGUUUGAGUGUUAUUUGUUGACCGCUUGUGUGUAGUAAAGAAUUAAUUUUCAAUCCUUUGAUUCCUUUGUUUGUUUUUAAAAGCUUGAUGUUGUGUUUUUUAUUCCUUAUUUCUUUAGUUUCGUAUCAGAAUAAUUUGAUUUAUUUUCAAGGACAUUGUGGUUUUAACAUUUGAUAUCUACUCCUUUCUCUAUCUUGCUUUAAGAAGAAUGGUAGAAUUUUCAGGUUUUCCGUGGUAAAGAGAAGUUUAUUGGGAAUUANNNNNNNNNNNNNNNNNNNNNNNNNNNNNNNNNNNNNNNNNNNNNNNNNNNNNNNNNNNNNNNNNNNNNNNNNNNNNNNNNNNNNNNNNNNNNNNNNNNNAACAGUGCAAAAUUUGAGAGAAUAGGGAAUACGGAGGAAACUUAUUCAAGAACUAAUUCCCAAUAAACUUCUCUUUACCACGAGAAACCUGAAAAUUCUACCCUUAUGCUUAAUGCAAGGUAGAGAAAGGAGUAGAGAUAAAAUGUUAAAACCACAAUAUCCUUAAGAGUAAAUAAAAUUAUUCGGAUACGAAACUAAAGAUAUGAGCAAUAGAAAACACAACAUUAAACUUUUAAAAACAAACAAAGGAAUCAAAGGAUUGAAAAUUAAUUCUAUACUACACACAAGCGGUCAACAAAUAACACUCAAACAUAAAAGAGAAUAAUGAAGAAGAAUGCAAAAUGGAGGAGAAUAUGGGAUACGGAGGAAACUUACUUGACAAGUAUUUCCUCAUAAACUUCUCUUUACCUCGAGAAACUUGAAAAUUCUACCCUUACGCUUAUAGAAGGUAGCGAAAGGUAUAGAGAUCAAAUGUAAAAACGAGAAUUACAAAAUUAACUCUUAAGGCUUAAUAUGGUUGAAAAGGAAAUCAAAUUUUGCCGAUACGAAACUAAAGAAAUGAGGAAUAGACAACGCAACAUCAAGAUAAAAACAAAGAAAGAAAUUAUUGGAUUGAAUAUUAAUUUUCUAGAACACACAUAUAGUAAACAUAUAACACGAAAACAUAAAAGAUAAAUAAGAAGAACAACGCAAAAUUUGAGAGGAUAGGGAAUAUGGAGAAAACUUAUCGAAGAACUAAUUCCCAAUAAACUUCUCUUGACAAGGGGAAACCUAAAAAUUCUACCAUUACGCUUAAAGUAAGGUAGAGAAAGGAGUACAGAUCAAAUUUUAAAACCACAAUGUACUUGAAAGUAAAUAAAAUUUUUUUGAUAAGAAACUAAAGAAAUGAAAAAUAGAAAACACAACAUAGAGCUCUAAAAAAACAAUGAAACCAAAGGAUUGAAAAUUCAUUAUCUACUAGAUACACGCAGUGAACAAAUAACACUCAAAUAUAAAAGAGAAGAAUAAAGAACAAUGCGAAAUGGAGGAGAAUAGGGGAUACGGAGAAAACUUACCUGACAAGUAUUUUCAAACAAACUUCUCUUUUCCUCGGGAAACCUGAAAAUUUUACUUUCACGCUUACCUGACAAGUAUGUGUGUACUAGAAAAUUAAUUUUGAAUUCGUUAAUUUCUUUAUUUGUUUUUUAUCUUGAUCUUGCGCUUGUCUCUUCCUCAUUUCUUUAGUUUUGUACCUGCAUAAUUUGAUUUCCUUUUAACGAUAUUGUGCCUUAAGAGUUAAUUUUCUUGUUCUCAUUUUUACAUUUGAUCUCUACUCCUUUUGCUCCAUUCAAUAAGCGUAAGGGUAGAAUUUUCAGGUUUCCCGAGGAAAAGAGAAGUUUGUUUGAAAAUACUUGUCAGGUAAGUUUUCUCUAUAUCCCCUAUUCUCCUCCAUUUCGCAUUGUUCUUCAUUCUUCUCUUUUAUAUUUGAGUGUUAUUUGUUCACUGCGUAUAUCUAGUAGAUAAUGAAUUUUCAAUCCUUUUAUUUCAUUGCUUUUUUUAGAGCUCUAUGUUUUGUUUUCUAUUUCUCAUUUCUUUAGUUUCUUAUCAAAAAAAUUUUAUUUACUUUCAAGUACAUUGUGGUUUUAAAAUUUGAUCUCUACUCCUUUCUCUACCUUGCUUUGAGCGUAAGGGUAGAAUUUUUAGAUUUCCCCUUGUCAAGAGAAGUUUAUUGGGAAUUAGUUCUUCGAUAAGUUUUCUCCAUAUUCUCUAUUCUCUCAAAUUUUGCGUUGUUCUUCUUAUUUAUCUGUUAUGUUUUCGUGUUAUAUGUUUACUAUAUGUGUGUUCUAGAAAAUUAAUAUUCAAUCCAAUAAUUUCUUUCUUUGUUUUUUAUCUUGAUGUUGCCUUGUCUAUUCCUCAUUUCUUUUGUUUCGUAUCGGCAGAAUUUGAUUUCCUUUCAACCAUAUUAAGCCUUAAGAGUUAAUUUUCUAAUUUUCGUUUUUACAUUUGAUCUCUACACCUUUCGCUACCUUCUAUAAGCGUAAGGGUAGAAUUUUCAAGUUUCUCGAGGUAAAGAGAAGUUUAUGAGGAAAUACUUGUCCAGUAAGUUUCCUCCGUAUCCCCUAUUCUCCUCCAUUUUGCAUUGUUCUUCAUUAUUCUCUUUUAUGUUUGAGUGUUAUUUGUUGACCGUUUGUGUGUAAUAGAGAAUUAAUUUUCAAUCCUUUGAUUCCUUUGUUUGUUUUUAAAAGUUUGAUGUUGUUUUUUCUAUUGCUCAUAUCUUUAGUUUCGUAUCCGAAUAAUUUUAUUUACUCUCAAGGACAUUGUGGUUUUAACAUUUGAUCUCUACUCCUUUCUCUACCUUGCAUUAAGCAUAAGGGUAGAAUUUUCAGGUUUCUCGUGGUAAAGAGAAGUUUAUUGGGAAUUAGUUCUUGAAUAAGUUUCCUCCGUAUUUCCUAUUCUCUCAAAUUUUGCACUGUCUACUGUAUGAGUGUACGAAAAAAUUACUUUUG